rnacentral:rRNA from 1 species
UACGGGGGGGGCAAGCGUUGUUCGGAAUUACGUGGCGUAAAGGGUUCGUAGGUGGCCAACUAAGUCAGACGUGAAAUCCCUCAGCUGCAACUGGGGAACUGCGUCUGAUACUGGUUGGCUUGAGUGCAGGAGAGGAACGCGGAAUUCCAGGUGUAGCGGUGAAAUGCGUAGAUAUCUGGAGGAAUACCGGUGGCGAAGGCGGCAUCCUGGACCGGCAUUGACGCUGAGGAGCGAAAGCUAGGGGAGCAAACGGG